UUGGAGGGCAAGUCUGGUGCCAGCAGCCGCGGUAAUUCCAGCUCCAAUAGCGUAUAUUAAAGUUGUUGCAGUUAAAAAGCUCGUAGUUGAAUUUCGGGGUUCUUCCGUUGGUCAGGCUAACAAGUCUGUACUAGCGUGUAGAAUCUCUACCUUCUGGGGAACCAUCAUGUUAUUAAUUUAGCGUGGUGGGAAACCAGGACCUUUACCUUGAAAAAAUUAGAGUGUUCAAAGCAGGCUUACGUCUGAAUACAUUAGCAUGGAAUAAUAAAAUAGGACGGUGGUCCUGUUUUGUUGGUUUCUGAAUCACCGUAAUGAUUAAUAGGGAUAGUUGGGGGCAUUAGUAUUCAAUUGUCAGAGGUGAAAUUCUUGGAUUUAUUGAAGACUAACUACUGCGAAAGCAUUUGCCAAGGAUGUUUUCAUUAAUCAAGAACGAAAGUUAGGGGAUCGAAGACGAUCAGAUACCGUCGUAGUCUUAACCAUAAACUAUGCCGACUAGGGAUCGGAUGAUGUUAAUUUUUUAAUGACUCAUUCGGCGCCUUACGGGAAAC
rnacentral:rRNA from 1 species